GACGAACGCUGGCGGCGUGCCUAAUACAUGCAAGUUGAGCGAUGAAGAUUGGUGCUUGCACCAAUAUGAAGAGAAGCGUACGGGUGAGUAACGCGAGGGGAAUCUAUCUUUGAGAGGGGGACAACAUUUGGAAACGAAUGCUAAUACCGAAUAAUAACUUUAACCAUAAGUUUUAAGUAUGAAAGAUGCAAUUGCAUCACACAAAGAUGAUCCCGCGUUGUAUUAGCUAGUUGGUGAGGUAAAGGCUCACCAAGGCGAUGAUACAUAGCAGACCUGAGAGGGUGAUCGGCCACAUUGACACUGAGACACGGCCCCAACUCCUACGGGUGGCAGCGGUAGGGGAUCGUCAGCAAUGGACGAGAGUCUGACCGUGCAACACCGCGUGAGUGUGGAGGGUUAUCGGAUCGUAAAACGCUGUUGGUAGAGGAGAACGUUGGUGAGAGUGGAAAGCACAUCAAGUGACGGUAACUACCCAGAAAGGGACGGCUAACUACGUG
rnacentral:rRNA from 1 species